rnacentral:rRNA from 1 species
UACGUAGGGUGCAAGCGUUGUCCGGAUUUAUUGGGCGUAAAGAGCGUGUAGGCGGUUCGGUAGGUCCGUUGUGAAACUCGAGGCUCAACCUCGAGACGCCGAUGGAAACCAUCGAACUAGAGUCCGGAAGAGGAGAGUGGAAGUUCCUGGUGUAGCGGUGAAAUGCGCAGAUAUCAGGAAGAACACCCGUGGCGAAAGCGGCUCUCUGGAACGGUACUGACGCUGAGACGCGAAAGCGUGGGGAGCGAACAGG